rnacentral:lncRNA from 1 species
GAUAAGAGUAUAUCCUGCUCUUAUCCUAUCCUGUUGCUAUCUUGUUCAUAUAUCAUAUCCUAUCCUGACUAACAAACGGACCCAUAAUAUUAUUGUAUUUAUACUAUAUUAUCAUGCUGAACUAGCCGGUACAUCCAAACAGGACAACAUGAAACACCUCUCCCUCCCUGUUGAUGAUCCUGAUGAUACUGGGUGCAUUGCAUAUGCAUGUUUCUACGAUUGCAGUUUAAUUUGAAUGAUCUCAUGUUAUUCAACACUCUUUAUUUUGACACACUGUGGCUUUAAAUGAAGUUCCAAGUGGUGCAACAUUGGAACAACACUGAGCAGUUACUCCCUUGGAUUUGCCAGGUUUUCUUGGACAAUGUCUGCAGGUGUCGAAGUCAAUCCCCAACGUUAAAAUUUC